UACGGGGGGGGCAAGCGUUGUUCGGAAUUACUGGGCGUAAAGGGCUCGUAGGCGGCCAACUAAGUCAGACGUGAAAUCCCUCGGCUUAACCGGGGAACUGCGUCUGAUACUGGAUGGCUUGAGUCCGGGAGAGGGAUGCGGAAUUCCAGGUGUAGCGGUGAAAUGCGCAGAUAUCAGGAAGAACACCAAUGGCGAAAGCAGCUCUCUGGGACGGUACUGACGCUGAGACGCGAAAGCGUGGGGAGCAAACAGG
rnacentral:rRNA from 1 species